GUUAAAAAGCUCGUAGUUGGAUUUCUGUUGAGGAUGACCGGUCCGCUCUUUGAGCGCGUAUCUGGUUCAGCCUUGGCAUCCUCUUGGGGAACGCUACUGUGCUUGAUUGCAUGGGGCGGUAUUCAAGACUUUUACUUUGAGGAAAUUAGAGUGUUCACUGCAAGCGUUAGCAAUUGAAUACAUUAGCAUGGAAUAAUAAUAUAGGACCUUGGUACUAUUUUGUUGGUUUCUAGAACUAAGGUAAUGAUUAAUAGGGACAAUUGGGGGCAUUCGUAUUAACGCGUCAGAGGUGGAAUUCUUAGAUUGCGUUACGACGAACUACUGCGAAAGCAUUUGCCAAGGAUGUUUUCAUUGAUCAAGAACGAAAGUAUGGGGAUCGAAGACGCUUAGAUACCGUCGUAGUCUAUACCAUAAACUAUGCCAACUAGAGAUUGGAGGUCGUUCUCUUUAUGACUCCUUCAGCACCUUAUGAGAAAUCAAAGUCUUUGGGUUCCGGGGGGAGUAUGGUCGCAAGGCUGAAACUUAAAGGAAUUGACGGAAGGGCACCACCAGGAGUGGAGCCUGCGGCUUAAUUUGACUCAACACGGGAAAACUUACCAGGUCCAGACAUAGUAAGGAUUGACAGAUUGAUAGCUC
rnacentral:rRNA from 1 species